GGACUACACGGGUAUCUAAUCCUGUUUGCUCCCCACGCUUUCGCGCCUCAGCGUCAGUAUUUGGCCAGGUAGCUGCCUUCGCCAUUGACGUUCCUUCCGAUCUCUACGCAUUUCACCGCUACACCGGAAAUUCCGCUACCCUCUCCAAUACUCCAGUCAUGAAGUUUGCGAUGCUCUUCCUAGGUUAAGCCCAGGGCUUUCACAUCACACUCUCAUAACCGCCUACGCGCCCUUUACGCCCAGUAAUUCCGAUUAACGCUCGCACCCUCUGUAUUACCGCGGCUGCUGGCAC
rnacentral:rRNA from 1 species